GACGAACGCUGGCGGCGUGCUUAACACAUGCAAGUCGAACGGAAAGGCCUCUUUCGGGGGGUACUCGAGUGGCGAACGGGUGGGUAACACGUGAGUAACCUGCCCUUGACUUUGGGAUAACUUCAGGAAACUGGGGCUAAUACCGGAUAGGAGCUCCUGCUGCAUGGUGGGGGUUGGAAAGUUUCGGCGGUUGGGGAUGGACUUGCGGCUUAUCAGCUUGUUGGUGGGGUAGUGGCUGACCAAGGCUUUGACGGGUAGCCGGCCUGAGAGGGUGACCGGCCACAUUGGGACUGGGAAAGGGCCCGGACUCCUACGGGAGGAAGCAGUGGGAAAUUUUCCACAAUGGGUGGAGCCUGAUGCAGCAACGCCGUGUGCGGGAUGACGGCCUUCGGGUUGUAAACCGCUUUCGCUCAUGACGAAGCUUUGUGUGACGGUAGUGGGUAAAGAAGCACCGGCUAACUACGUG
rnacentral:rRNA from 1 species